UACGUAGGGUGCGGGCGUUGUCCGGAAUUAUUGGGCGUAAAGGGCUCGUAGGCGGUUUGUCGCGUCGGGAGUGAAAACGCCGUGCUUAACACGGCGCUUGCUUUCGAUACGGGCAGACUAGAGGUAUGCAGGGGAGAACGGAAUUCCUGGUGUAGCGGUGAAAUGCGCAGAUAUCAGGAGGAACACCGGUGGCGAAGGCGGUUCUCUGGGCAUUACCUGACGCUGAGGAGCGAAAGUGUGGGGAGCGAACAGG
rnacentral:rRNA from 1 species